AUCGAACGGUGAAGCAGAGCUUGCUCUGUGGAUCAGUGGCGAACGGGUGAGUAACACGUGAGCAAUCUGCCCCUGACUCUGGGAUAAGCGCUGGAAACGGCGUCUAAUACCGGAUACGAGCUGCGAUCGCAUGGUCAGUAGCUGGAAAGAAUUUCGGUCAGGGAUGAGCUCGCGGCCUAUCAGCUUGUUGGUGAGGUAAUGGCUCACCAAGGCGUCGACGGGUAGCCGGCCUGAGAGGGUGACCGGCCACACUGGGACUGAGACACGGCCCAGACUCCUACGGGAGGCAGCAGUGGGGAAUAUUGCACAAUGGGCGAAAGCCUGAUGCAGCAACGCCGCGUGAGGGAUGACGGCCUUCGGGUUGUAAACCUCUUUUAGCAGGGAAGAAGCGAAAGUGACGGUACCUGCAGAAAAAGCGCCGGCUAACUACGUGCCAGCAGCCGCGGUAAUACGUAGGGCGCAAGCGUUAUCCGGAAUUAUUGGGCGUAAAGAGCUCGUAGGCGGUCUGUCGCGUCUGCUGUGAAAACCCGAGGCUCAACCUCGGGCCUGCAGUGGGUACGGGCAGACUAGAGUGCGGUAGGGGAGAUUGGAAUUCCUGGUGUAGCGGUGGAAUGCGCAGAUAUCAGGAGGAACACCGAUGGCGAAGGCAGAUCUCUGGGCCGUAACUGACGCUGAGGAGCGAAAGGGUGGGGAGCAAACAGGCUUAGAUACCCUGGUAGUCCACCCCGUAAACGUUGGGAACUAGUUGUGGGGUCCAUUCCACGGAUUCCGUGACGCAGCUAACGCAUUAAGUUCCCCGCCUGGGGAGUACGGCCGCAAGGCUAAAACUC
rnacentral:rRNA from 1 species